rnacentral:rRNA from 1 species
UACGUAAGGUGCAGGCGUUUAAUCGGAAUUACUGGGCGUAAAGCGUGCGCAGGCGGUUUGCUAAGACAGGUGUGAAAUCCUCGGGCUUAACCUGGGAAUGGCAUUUGGGACUGCAAGGCUCGAGUGCGGCAGAGGAGACUGGAAUUCCUGGUGUAGCAGUGAAAUGCGUAGAGAUCGGGCGGAACACCAGCGGCGAAGGCGGCAUCCUGGACUGGUCCUGACACUCAGGAGCGAAAGCGUGGGGAGCGAUCCGG